AAAAAGUAGGAGGGACUGAAGGAGGCAAUAAUCCCACACCCUUCUCUAGCUUCAGGAGAGCUGGUGCUGAGGCGGUUGCCAUGGCGACAACAGCUCCGUGGUCAGGAGAUUUUCUUUUUCCCUCUCCUCCCUUUGCUCUUCUACAAGCAGCAGCAAAGGCAGUAACAACCAGGUCUUGUUCCUCCCCUUCAUAAUAAAAGGCAAAAGUGACUCAUACAAGAUGCAGGGGAGGAGAAAAUGAGUCCACAUGGAUCUUUGGCUUCAUCUCUACGAACAACAGGAGGGAGAGAGAGCAACAGGCACAAAAGCGACAGAGAAGAACGGGUUACAGAGAGAGGACCUGGUGCGUUCCUGUGUGAGAGGUGAUGAGGUAUAAAGACUAGAACUAUGGGGUGGUCUCCUGGGAGGACCAUCCCAGGUUUAUGCUCCAGGCAGAGUGUGGGACCGCUGUCUAGUGUGGGGGCUUAGAGGGGGGAUGCUGAAUGUGCCUGGCGUCAUCCUUCCCUUAGGUAUGCUGGGAGCUGUCCAAGUAAGGGGCAGAGAUAGGGUAGUCAGAGAAUGAAUUUGCUAUCGAGGUCUUUUUGGGAACAGGACCCUGAGAUGUGAAUGACAGUGAACUAUUGGUGUGGGUGUGGGUCCUCCAAGUAUAGGUUUCCAUGAGGCUUGGCAAACCACUGUGUCUAGAGGCAAGAGAAGACAGGGUGACAGGAGCCUCUCUUCUAGCAUCAGUGACACCACACCCCCAAGUGUGUGUGUGUGUGUGUGUGUGUGUGUGUGUGUGUGUGUGUGUGUGUGUGUGUUUGCACUGGAGCCAGAGGAAUGGUUAUUCUUACCUGAGCUGGGGGUAAGGAGGCGGCCGUACCUCCUUCUUGAACUGGGGACUCGGCUUGAAGUGAAAGUCCCUGGCCCAAGGCGGGCUCUCCAGAUGAUUGUCCACCUAUGACAGACCCAGGGUCAGAAAGAUGGAUCUGAGCAGAUGAGGAGGGGAGGGAAACGCGGAGGAGGAGGGCCUCAGGGCCUCCGCCCCACGAGGUUGCUUCGAGGGCCCGGCCCCACCCGCAUUACCUGAGGCCGCUCGCCGAGUCGCUAGAUGGCUCGGAGCCUGGACGUCCGCGGGGAUGAAGCUGGCUAUCGGGCGGACGACAGGCUCUGUAGGGUCCGCGUCGAAGCCGCCUCCCCAGUUCUUGUAUCACUAUUUGCUUCUCGAAGGCGACACGAUUUGCAUAAGGCCCGCCUCCUCUCCGCAACUUUGGACAUCGAUUGGUUCAGCUGGCACCGAGUGACAGGCGGGGUUUCAGGUGGGGAUGGGGUGGCCUGUGAGUCUAGGCUACCACAAGAGCACGCCCCGCCCGCCCGCCCGCGCUGACCUUCCCGGAGUCGCCAGGAUUGUAGAGGGCUGUACCCCCAUCUGUUCCUCAACCCUGAGGCUCAGAGCUUGGGUCACAGUUUGGAGCGAAAAGUACCGAUGAUUAAAGUGGAUUCGCAAAAACAA